UGGGGAAUUUUGGACAAUGGACGCAAGUCUGAUCCAGCCAUGCCGCGUGCGGGAAGAAGGCCUUCGGGUUGUAAACCGCUUUUGUCAGGGAAGAAACGAGUUUCUCUAAUACAGAGACUUAAUGACGGUACCUGAAGAAUAAGCACCGGCUAACUACGUGCCAGCAGCCGCGGUAAUACGUAGGGUGCAAGCGUUAAUCGGGAUUACUGGGCGUAAAGCGUGCGCAGGCGGUUAUGCAAGACAGAUGUGAAAUCCCCGGGCUCAACCUGGGAACUGCAUUUGUGACUGCAUAGCUGGAGUGCGGCAGAGGGGGAUGGAAUUCCGCGUGUAGCAGUGAAAUGCGUAGAUAUGCGGAGGAACACCGAUGGCGAAGGCGACCACCGGGACUGAUACUGACACUGAGGUGCGAAAGCGUGGGGAGCAAACA
rnacentral:rRNA from 1 species